ACGCACCUUUCGGGGUGAGUGGCGGACGGGUGAGUAACGCGUGAGAAUCUGCCUUUUGGUCGGGGACAACCACUGGAAACGGUGGCUAAUACCGGAUGUGCCUACGGGUAAAAGAUUUAUUGCCAGAAGAAGAGCUCGCGUCUGAUUAGCUAGUUGGUAGGGUAAAAGCCUACCAAGGCAUCGAUCAGUAGCUGGUCUGAGAGGAUGACCAGCCACACUGGGACUGAGACACGGCCCAGACUCCUACGGGAGGCAGCAGUGGGGAAUUUUCCGCAAUGGGCGAAAGCCUGACGGAGCAAGACCGCGUGAGGGAGGAAGGCUCUUGGGUUGUAAACCUCUUUUGUCAGGGAAGAAGAAAGUGACGGUACCUGACGAAUCAGCAUCGGCUAACUCCGUGCCAGCAGCCGCGGUAAUACGGAGGAUGCAAGCGUUAUCCGGAAUUAUUGGGCGUAAAGCGUCCGCAGGUGGCACUUCAAGUCUGUCGUCAAAGACCGGGGCUUAACCCUGGAAAGGCGAUGGAAACUGAAAGGCUAGAGAGAGGUAGGGGUAGAGGGAAUUCCCAGUGUAGCGGUGAAAUGCGUAGAGAUUGGGAAGAACAUCGGUGGCGAAAGCGCUCUACUGGACCUCAUCUGACACUCAGGGACGAAAGCUAGGGGAGCGAAUGGGAUUAGAUACCCCAGUAGUCCUAGCCGUAAACGAUGGAUACUAGGCGUG
rnacentral:rRNA from 1 species